rnacentral:rRNA from 1 species
CAGCCGCCACGGUAAUACAGAGGGUGCGAGCGUUAAUCGGAUUUACUGGGCGUAAAGCGUGCGUAGGCGGCUUCUUAAGUCGGAUGUAAAAUCCCUGAGCUUAACUUAGGAAUUGCAUUCGAUACUGGGAAGCUAGAGUAUGGGAGAGGAUGGUAGAAUUCCAGGUGUAGCGGUGAAAUGCGUAGAGAUCUGGAGGAAUACCGAUGGCGAAGGCAGCCAUCUGGCCUAAUACUGACGCUGAGGUACGAAAGCAUGGGGAGCAAACAGGAUUAGAUACCCCCGUAGUCCCUGUCUCUUAUAC